AACGAACGCUGGCGGCAUGCCUAACACAUGCAAGUCGAACGAGACCUUCGGGUCUAGUGGCGCACGGGUUCGUAACGCGUGGGAAUCUGCCCUUCGGUUGGGCAUAACUGAGAGAAAUUUCAGCUAAUACCUUAUAAUGUCUUCGGACCAAAGAUUUAUCGCCGAGGGAUGAGCCCGCGUAGGAUUAGGUAGUUGGUGGGGUAAUGGCCUACCAAGCCGACGAUCCUUAGCUGGUCUGAGAGGAUGAUCAGCGACACUGGGACUGAGACACGGCCCAGACUCUUCCGGGAGGCAGCAGUGGGGGACGUUGCAAAGCGGGCGAAAGCAUGAUCCAGCACUGCCGGGUGAACGAUGAAGGCCUGAGAGUUGUAAUGUGUUAUUAACCAGGAUGAUAAUGACGGUACCGGAUGAAAAAGCCACGGCUAACUCCGUG
rnacentral:rRNA from 1 species